AGGCCCGUAGCUCAGUUGGAAGAGCGUCCGACUCCAAAUCGGAAGGCCGGGGGUUCGAGCCCUCCCGGGCCUGCAA
rnacentral:tRNA from 1 species